rnacentral:lncRNA from 1 species
GCUGCUUCCCUCAUAGUUUUUUAAUGAGCCUCCGUACGUCGCCUGUCCUGCCGUGGUGGUUUUUAUUUUCUCUUUCCCAUCUUCCCCUAAUCAUGUUUCUGAAGAUGCUGCACAUUUCAGAAGACAACAAGGAUGACCUUGACGUUUGCAAACUGGACAGUGUGGCCUUACUCCACAUGCAGAAAUUGAGGGAGCUCAUUGACUACGUUUUCAACAAAGUGAUUUCAAAGGCUAGUUCUAUUUAAUUUUGUACUUCGAAAGCUAGUGUCAUUGUGAUUUGCUGAAUUUAUAUUAUAAGAAUAUUUUAUUUGUUAUAUUUGUUUUAGCACUCUAACAAAAUCACAACUAUGGGGGGGAAAAACAUUUUUAGAAUCCUGUUUUGUGCCCACCUGUUAUAUGGAGCAUAUUUAAAGAAAUUGACAUGCAUUGUUUAAUUUUUGUUGUAAAUUCAAUGUCAUUUUAAUUUGUUUCUAUUAAACAGUCCCCCCACCCACAUUUUCAAUUCAUCUUAAUAGCAAUGACUAGCAACGACAGAUUCACAGGUCUGUUAAAUUGUCAUAAAUUUUUCCUGUGAGGAGCAAACCUCCCUUCCACCCCGAUCUGCUAUGAUGUGCAAGCAAUGGAUUCCAGUGCCUGGUUAACUAGUCAUUACUGAUGUGCUGCAUGGUUAAUUACUGUGAACACUACAGCCUCAAAGUACGCUUUGCACGUGCAGAUUCUGUGCAUCUGGUCUUUCCACUGUGAUCGCUGUCUGGCUGUUUCAAGCUGGUGUCACUACAACUGUACUCCAAUGUGUACCUAUAGUUUAGGUCAAGAUUGCAAGAUCUCUCAUGCUGUAGUAAUGCAAAGGCCAACCGAAAGAGAUGCACUGUUCUCAUGAUGCUGAUGUACGCGUAUUACUGUCGCUGAGGUACAAAGUAAUAUACAUGGAUAGUAACAGCUUAAAAAAAUUACUUUUUGCAAGGCUGAACUAAUAUAAAAAAAUACAUAGCUUUAAAAGUUAGGUCUGAAGAGACCACAAAAAUAAGUAAAAGCUUUAAAAGUCUGGGAAUGCUAAAGAAAAUGGACUAGUUUAAAGACCGCCUUUAAAAACAGAGGUUGUAGGGGCAGAUUUAAUGUCAAGUGGCAGCUUAAACAAAAUGUUAUAAGUGAAUAUGUAAAGUUCGAUUUAAAAAGUCUAUAUGUUUAGAGUUGGUUUAUACACAUUGCACCAUGGUGUAUUGCAUCUGUGUAUUUGUUAGUCUA